rnacentral:rRNA from 1 species
AGCUUGCUAGAAGAUGACGAGUGGCGGACGGGUGAGUAAUGCUUGGGAACUUGCCUUUGCGAGGGGGAUAACAGUUGGAAACGACUGCUAAUACCGCAUAAUGUCUUCGGACCAAACGGGGCUUAGGCUCCGGCGCAAAGAGAGGCCCAAGUGAGAUUAGCUAGUUGGUAAGGUAACGGCUUACCAAGGCGACGAUCUCUAGCUGUUCUGAGAGGAAGAUCAGCCACACUGGGACUGAGACACGGCCCAGACUCCUACGGGAGGCAGCAGUGGGGAAUAUUGCACAAUGGGGGAAACCCUGAUGCAGCCAUGCCGCGUGUGUGAAGAAGGCCUUCGGGUUGUAAAGCACUUUCAGUUGUGAGGAAAAGUUAGUAGUUAAUACCUGCUAGCCGUGACGUUAACAACAGAAGAAGCACCGGCUAACUCCGUGCCAGCAGCCGCGGUAAUACGGAGGGUGCGAGCGUUAAUCGGAAUUACUGGGCGUAAAGCGCACGCA